ACCCAGCUGAUGAGUCUCAACUAAGAUGAAAUAUGCGUCCUGGAU
rnacentral:hammerhead_ribozyme from 1 species